rnacentral:lncRNA from 1 species
UACUUCUCUGCCUUUUCAGCAUUGCUGUAUCUUUCUUUAGUUCCCUGUAAAGUCAAUGCAGAUAGAGUGUCCAGUCAAGUGUGAUUCAGAGCAGAUGCCUAACUAAGGUGCCUUAGGUUAGCCUGAGUGAAUAAUGUUCUUAAUUACAAAUCCAUUUUCUCUCUAGACCGUGUCCUGUUAGGAGAUGCCAUCUUCAGAAGUUCUCUCACAGUGACAGAAUCUCAAGCCAGGCAGCAACGCUGGACUUCCCUAGCAGCAGCUUCAGGUCCUGCUCGCUAUUCAGAAGCAAG